GAUGAACGCUGGCGGUAUGCUUAACACAUGCAAGUCGAACGGACUCUUCGGAGUUAGUGGCGGACGGGUGAGUAACGCGUGAGAAUCUGGCUUUGGGUUCGGGACAACCACUGGAAACGGUGGCUAAUACCGGAUGUGCCGAGAGGUAAAAGAGAAAUUGCCUGAAGAUGAGCUCGCGUCUGAUUAGCUAGUUGGUGAGGUAAAGGCUCACCAAGGCAGCGAUCAGUAGCUGGUCUGAGAGGAUGACCAGCCACACCGGGACUGAGACACGGCCCAGACUAAUACGGGAGGAAGCGGUGAAGAAUGUUCCGGCAAGGGCGAGAGGCUGACGGAGGAAUACCGCGUGAGAGAAGCAGGUUCUUGGGUUGUAAAGCUCUUUGCUUAGGGAAGAACAAAAUGACGGUACCUAAGGAAUCAGCAUCGGCUAACUCCGUG
rnacentral:rRNA from 1 species